UCCACGCUGUAAACGAUGAUCACUCGCUGUUUGCGAUACACAGUAAGCGGCUGAGCGAAAGCAUUAAGUGAUCCACCUGGGGAGUACGAUCGCAAGGUUGAAACUCAAAGGAAUUGACGGGGGCCCGCACAAGCGGAGGAACAUGUGGUUUAAUUCGAUGAUACGCGAGGAACCUUACCUGGGCUUAAAUGUAGAUUGCAUAACUUAGAGAUAGGUUUUCCCUUCGGGGCUAUUUACAAGGUGCUGCAUGGUUGUCGUCAGCUCGUGCCGUGAGGUGUCGGGUUAAGUCCCAUAACGAGCGCAACCCUUACCGUUAGUUGCCAUCAGGUCAUGCUGGGGACUCUAGCGGGACUGCCACCGUAAGGUGAGAGGAAGGUGGGGAUGACGUCAAAUCAGCACGGCCCUUAUGUCCAGGGCUACAC
rnacentral:rRNA from 1 species